rnacentral:rRNA from 1 species
UACGUAGGGUGCGGAGCGUUGUCCGGAAUUAUUGGGCGUGAAAGAGCUUGUAGGCGGUUUGUCGCGUCUGCCGGUGAAAAUCCGGGCUCAACCCCGGACUUGCGGUGGGUACGGGCAGACGUAGAGUUGUGGUAGGGGAGACGUGGAAUUCCUGGUGUAGCGGUGAAAUGCGCAGAUAUCAGGAGGAACACCGAUGGCGAAGGCAGGUCUCUGGGCCACUACUGACGCUGAGAAGCGAAAGCGUGGGGAGCGAACAGG